rnacentral:tRNA from 1 species
AACUAAGUAGUGGUAUCCAUAUUAAGUUGCAAACUUAGUGAAGCAAGUGCCUUAGUUA